GCCUCAGCUGCUACCUAAGGAGGGGCCACCAACAUGGAGCUAGAGGGGCACCUUAGUCUCCCAUCUGGCUCCUCCCUCUCCCUCACAUACCUACUUUUCACCUUCUCCACAGCUGAUCCAGCUAGAGCAACAGGGAGAGCAGAGAAGCAGCAGCAGUAUGCAAUCAUUGAUUCACUGCUGCAGAUAGAGUUGCUCUCUUAUUUUUUGCUACCAAGCAGUGUUUUGCUGGCCAAUCGCAAUGCAUGUCAGCAGCAAAAAAGGUGACAUCUGUUCCAGCAGCUGUAAGCCUUUGGCUACUGCUUUUGUACCCUACACUGCCUCCACCCAGGGUGCAGAAUCAGCCAGCAGCAACUUAUCUAAGAUGCUUCCCCAGGUAGUAUUCUGUCAGAGAAAGAGGUCAGAACAGCAAUCCUGAGGUCAGUGAUGAAGUGCCCCGAGAGGCUGAGGUCUUCUGCCACAGGCUUUUGUGCCUUUCUAAAGUUCAUGUCAGAUCAGUCUUCAUUCAUUUUUACAUGUAGAGAUCACCUUGUUUAUCUCAAGUAGACAGCAGAGGGGCACUGUAAGCAGGUGAUGACAUUGGUAGAGUUCCAGGAAAUCCCUCUGGCUGAGAGUGUUUGCUAAGUGAUGUGGCAGUUUCUUGGGUGAGUCCAAUUGCAAUAAAGCAUUCUCAGUCCUCAUGUGACCUGCUGGGAGAUAUUACCACUGGGUUCCAACUACCCUGAGGCUCAGAGUUUCUAUACCGGAGAUAAUCUGGACCCUAUGGAGACUGGGAAGCUAACAGGUGAGCAUUCUCCCUCCCUGUUGAUUAACAAUGAACAUCUCCAGUCCAAGCACCCAGCUGAGACAGCAUGAACCCCAGGACUUCGUGGCAUUCACCCCUGUCUCUGUCAUCAGGGGUACGUCAAAGAAUUCUGACUCCCUGCCCAUGAUUUCAAUCAUUGUGGCCAUUUUUGUCCUUGUGGCCAUCUUUAUUAUUCUGGUGGUGCACUAUGGCCCCCAGCUCCGGACCACACAGAUCACACUGCACCAUGAGCCCAUGCCACAACACCUGGAGAGUGGUGUCCACUUAACCAACUGGAAGAAGCUGGGUUCCCAGAGGAAGAGCAAUGUGCCCUCUACUCAGGACUGCUGGAGAGACUUGGGUAGAACUGAUGGUGCUGGGCUGAGCUUUCAGUGUUCCUGUAAGCAUCACCUUCCCUGUGGGAAUGCAGAGCCCAGCGUCAUAGAAAUCACGUACCUGUGAAUGGCUGGCAGUGGGCCUGUCCAGGGGCAUGACGGGGAUGUUGAAAAAGAACAGUGUUCAGAAUUUGGGCUCUGCCAGGAACCCCCCCAGUAUUUGAACACUGUGACUUAAGCAUCUUCUGGUCGUCAAUGUUCCUCUCUUAGGCAGACUCACUCAGUAAAGUCCUAAAAUGGGACAUACUCAGAAGAUUAACAGCACCUAAAAAAUAAAUAAUUUGUGUGGCUGCUAACACCUGUGUUGGGAACACCCAGGGGCUCUUUCAGAUGUGCUCUGCAAAGGGAACUAGGCCAAGACCCAAACCCACCUCUCACACACCUGAGCUUGCUGGGGGAGGAGGAGCUGGGCAGGCGUCUGAAGGUACUUGAUCCUGUGCCCAUGUGUGCAGUCCAUCUAGCUGCUGCUUAGUGCUCAUUUCCAUCUGCUGAUCUAACGGGGCAAUGGCAUUGCUUGGUGCUGCCGUCAUCACACUCUUGAUGCAGUAAAUAUGCAGCCCUCAUAGCCCCCACCCCACAAGACUGUGCACAAGUAGUGGCUUUUAAACAGUUGGUGGCACUAAUGGUUGGUGUCCUAGGUAACAGCUGAGUUCCCAGCCCAGGCUCUGUGGCCAACUCCAGGCUGCCUCGGGGUUUCAGUCAGUUCCUCCUUCUGUCCGCUGUUUACCUUGGAGCUGUGUGCUGCUCUGUCUGGGAGUGGCUGAUCAUCAGGGAUGCAGCCUCUGACCCGUGCUGGCUGAAAAACAGGACUAGCAGGCCUUGGAACAGCUCCUUGGCAGAAGCUGAAAGGUGCAUUGUCCAGCCUGAAAUUACUUUCCACAUUAAGGAUUUUUUCAUGUACACUGUGUGCUCGUUGUUUUCUCACACGUGUCUUUCAGGGGCAGAGCAGCCUCCAGAGGUCUCUAAGUUUCCCUGCUCCUAUCUCUCCCCUUCGUUCAGAUGCUAAACCACCAUUUUCACUAGCUUGGUGCUCUGCCUAUCAUGAGGUUGCGGGGGAGGGGAUUGGGUCGGCUCACUUUUGGAAGGUAUUAAAAUGCUUCCUACUGCUUGGCCCUUUCUCUUUGUUGGUGUUUCAGCAGAACGACUAAGGACUCUGUGGGCCAAGGACAUAAGACUCCCUUUCCUGCCCUGGCAUGGGACCCGCACAAGUAGCGGCGGAAGCACAGCAGCCUAGGAAAGCUGGCAUUGCCCCGUCUACACUGGCUGCAUUCAGUACUGAGAGUGGACUUUGGUCUGCAGCUGCAAACCCAUUCACUCCAGUGGUAAUAAGAUAGCAGGAAGUCUGCCACCUAACCAACCCAGCCCUUCCCAUGCCUGAGCAGGAACAUUGUCUCCCUUGGUAUGGGGUUGAAUUGACAGUACAGUUUAUGGCUUUCCCACAACUACGUCCACCUAGAAACCAGUUAUAAACAUUCAGGUUGAAGGACUGUGCUUCUCAGGCAGACACAGAAAUGACUAGCCAUGAGCAAACUGAUCUGAGAGCAGAAAAACAGGAAAGGAGUGACAGCUCUUCAGGAAAGUCAGGGCCGGCUCUCAAUACAGAGACAUUCACUCUGUGCUGGAAAUGGGGAUGUGGCCUCUCUGAGAGAAGUGCUGAGUGUAGCUGAAGGACUUGGGGAUGCAGGGCUUGUGGGGUCUUCAGUGGGAUUGAAUGAACUGUCCUAGUCAGACACACUGAAUACCUGGAGGGGGAGGGGGGAAGGGAGUAAUAUAGUGUGGGGCAGGAUCAGGCACAAAGACCUAUGUCCAAAGCAGCAGCACAGGAAGCCAAUGAUGGGUCAGUAGCUUUUAGUGCUGAUUAAUCCUCAUUCCAGUCGAUGGGAUCGGGUUGACACACCACUCACUCCUUGGCACAACAAAAAAAGUAGGGGAGACUUGCAUAAAAAAUGUUUCGGGAGGCAGAACCUGCUCUACUGGCAGCAGUAGCAAGGCAACUCCAGUGCUCUAUGGCACACAAACCCUUCUGUCUAGAAAAGCCUCCCAAAAGGUGGCUCUGGGAACCAGAGAUCCAUGCCACUUCACUCCCUUCUUUGCAACCUCCCUGGUAACCAAGAGGGGCCAAAGGCUGUAAACUCUCUCUUGAGCCUGUGGUUUUGGAGUUAUUGGACAAGAGUUGUAGUGGCAGUGCUGGGGCAGGGACACCAGGUGCAUUACCAGGAAGGAGGAGUUGGGGGUAUGUGUGCAGUGGCUGUGUAGCAUGGUCCAGCAAAUGGUGGCUGGGGAUGGUUCUAGGUAAACAUCAAAUAAUUACAGACCUACUUAAUUCUUGGCCAGACAAAGGAUUUUUCACAACUUGGUUGCAGCAUGAAGAGCCAAUUUCUACUAUUGGAAUGUCUCCAAGCAGUGGCGAGACCCUGGAGGGAAAUACUGUGGGAUCCAGGAAUAUGUAAACGUGACCUCCCAGCUGUUUUUUAUAUCAAAGUGAAGGCUAUUGUCCCAAAAGGUGAAUCUACAUUUCCAGAGAGGUUUGUUUCCCCUGGAGUCAGGUAGCAAUAGAAGGAGCCAGAAUAUACCACUCUCAGCCAUCCAUACCCAAAGCCCCAGAGAUGGGGACAGGCUCGAACACUAUUCCAGGCCUGCUGGAGCACACCCUGCAGCCACAGUCCUCAGAGAUAGAUUUAUUUCUCAGUGCCCAGGUGGAGUUGCAUCAUUUGAUUUUUGCAUCCUGUGUGAGGGGCAACACUCACCCGCAGCAGCCUGGCACCCUUCUCAGGUAUCUCUGCCUAUGACAGUACACCUGCUGCAGCAGGAUGCUCCCUUCUCUGCAAAGUUAGUAACCCAGUGCUCAGUGCAAGUGCCGUGCUCAGGGCCUGCUCUGCAUACACUACCUCCUGAAUUAGAAGAAGUGGUGCUGUUGGUGGAUGAAUAGGCAUGUUCAUGUGUAUCAACACUGCUUCUGGUUCAGGAGCAGGCACUGUUUUAUUACUAGAAACCCUGAACACCUGCAUUGCUUAUUUUGCUUUGUGGCUGGGCCCCUUCCACUUAUCCCACUAUGUCCUGGCUCUGUGCCCUGCUCCAGUCAAUGGAAAGUCCUUUUGCACAUGGGUUGCAUCACUGUCACAACCAGGGUGGCUGCAGGAUGUUGCAUUGACCGUCCAUGAGCAGUCUUGCUCAGGUACAGAGUGCAUACAGCUUGGACAGCAGCAAUACAGACACCAGUCAUAGCGUCUAGCCAGGUAUUUCCAUCCUGUGCUGCAAAGGAAGUGCAGCCUCCCUGGCUUGUGCACUGAAUAAAUCAAACCUGAUUAAGGAUGCCUGGAUCUGGCCCAGGAAAACAAACACAGGAAGCACCACAGACAGCUGAGAGUCAGCAACUCCAUUUAUUUCAGGUGAUCACCUUCCAUUUUAUUGUUUUUAUAAGGGAGAUCCUCCUAAGCAAGCUCUUAGUGUGCAGAGAAAUGAAUCAGGGAUCAGGUGGGGGUAGUGAAGAAGAGAAAGAAAACAUCUAAAAAAUCUGAUUCACUUUAUUUAUAAGAUGAGACUUUCUAACAUUCCCAGUCAUCUAGUCAUUGGCAGAGGGGAAGUCAGGCACACUGCUCAUUGCUGACAGAGAUGGACACUGCAGGAUAAGCUGGGGAAAAGGAUGAAUGGGCAGGAAAAACAGUCUGGGAAUACCAAGCUGCAACUCCAUUUCCUAGUGACAGAGAGAAGCCAGGGCACUAAGAGUGCUCUGCAUUGCUUAGGCUCAGUGUCAUAGGAUCAGGCUGUCUCAACCUUGAGCAGACACUAGUGCAGCUAUUACACCCAGUUCAGACAUUCACCCUUAACUUGCAGGGCUAAACUUGUUCCUGAGCAUAGGAAAGCAGUUUAAUGGCAAAACCACAACUGCUUUUUAACCACCCAGCUGAACUAGCUCUAAGACUGCCUUGCUCUUAUCCCCUUUCCUCUGUGUCUACAGGCACAUCUACCCUACCUCUGUGCUGUGCCUGGGAGCACUGCCACACAGCACGCUCUGCCCGCUCACUCACACUACACA